AGUCGACUAAGCGACUCUAAACAGCAUUUAGGCUUAGUGCGUUCCCCUGCUCACGCGGGGGAGGUAUGG
rnacentral:ribozyme from 2 species